UGGGGAAUAUUGGGCAAUGGGCGAAAGCCUGACCCAGCGACGCCGCGUGAGGGAAGAAGGUCUUCGGAUUGUAAACCUUUGUCAACAGGGACGAAACAAAUGACGGUACCUGUGGAGGAAGCCACGGCUAACUACGUGCCAGCAGCCGCGGUAAUACGUAGGUGGCGAGCGUUAUCCGGAUUUACUGGGUGUAAAGGGUGAGUAGGCGGGAAGGCAAGUCAGAUGUGAAAUGCAAUGGCUUAACCAUUGAAUUGCAUUUGAAACUGCUUUUCUUGAGAGUCGGAGAGGUAAUCGGAAUUCCUAGUGUAGCGGUGAAAUGCGUAGAGAUUAGGAGGAACACCAGUGGCGAAGGCGGAUUACUGGACGACAACUGACGCUGAGACACGAAAGCGUGGGGAGCAAACAGG
rnacentral:rRNA from 2 species